GACGAACGCUGGCGGCGUGCUUAACACAUGCAAGUCGAACGGAAAGGCCCUGCUUUUGUGGGGUGCUCGAGUGGCGAACGGGUGAGUAACACGUGAGUAACCUGCCCUUGACUUUGUGAUAACUUCAGGAAACUGGGGCUAAUACCGGAUAGGAGCUCCUGCUGCAUGGUGGGGGUUGGAAAGUUUCGGCGGUUGGGGAUGGACUCGCGGCUUAUCAGCUUGUUGGUGGGGUAGUGGCUUACCAAGGCUUUGACGGGUAGCCGGCCUGAGAGGGUGACCGGCCACAUUGGGACUGAGAUACGGCCCAGACUCCUACGGGAGGCAGCAGUGGGGAAUAUUGCACAAUGGGCGGAAGCCUGAUGCAGCAACGCCGCGUGCGGGAUGACGGCCUUCGGGUUGUAAACCGCUUUCGCCUGUGACGAAGCGUGAGUGACGGUAAUGGGUAAAGAAGCACCGGCUAAAUACGUG
rnacentral:rRNA from 1 species